GAUGAAGAACGCAGCGAAAUGCGAUAAGUAAUGUGAAUUGCAGAAUUCAGUGAAUCAUCGAAUCUUUGAACGCACAUUGCGCCCGCCAGUAUUCUGGCGGGCAUGCCUGUUCGAGCGUCAUUACAACCCUCAGGCCCCCGGGCCUGGCGUUGGGGAUCGGCGGAAGCCCCCUGCGGGCACAACGCCGUCCCCCAAAUACAGUGGCGGUCCCGCCGCAGCUUCCAUUGCGUAGUAGCUAACACCUCGCAACUGGAGAGCGGCGCGACCACGCCGUAAAACACCCAACUUCUGAAUGUUGACCUCGAAUCAGGUAGGAAUACCCGCUGAACUUAAGCAUAUCAAUAAGCGGAGGA
rnacentral:misc_RNA from 1 species